AUGCUCCGCCUCCGCCUCCGAUGCCGCGCCCUGUCCCAGCUCCUCCCGCCCCCAUCCUCGUCUCCCAUCUCCCAGCUCCUCGGCUACCACAGCCGCCUCCUCUCCGCGGCCGCGCCCGUCGUCUCCCCGAACCCUAGCUUCGCCGUCGAGGAUUACCUCGUCUCCACCUGCGGCCUGACCCGAGCCCAGGCACUCAAGGCCUCCCCCAAGCUCGCCCACCUCAGGUCCCCCGCCAACCCCGACGCCGUGCUCGCCUUCCUCGCCGGCCGCGGCCUCUCCGGCGCCGACGUCGCCGCCCUCGUCGCCAAGGACCCCAAGUUCCUCUGCACCAAGGUCGACAAGGGCCUGUCCCCCAUCGUCGCGGGGCUCUCCGGCGUCGGCCUGUCAGAUCCCGAGAUGGCGCGGCUCCUCUCGCUCGCCCCAGACAGAUUCCGCUGUAGAUCCAUCGUCCCCAAUAUACACUACUGCCUGUGCAUCUUCGUGUCCUACGAGAAUCUCCUCUCUGCUGUCAAGCGCAAUUUCUACAUUCUCACGUCCAACCUUGAGAGAGUGAUCAAGCCCAAUGUCGCGGCCCUGCGAGAGUUUGGGCUUGGUCCUUGUGCUAUUGCCAAGCUGUGCCUCGCUCAGCCAUGGCUGCUCACCUGCAACGUAGAGUGUGUCCGGGCGACGGCGGUGUGCGUCCAAGGUCUGGGUAUACCCCGAGGAUCUGGGAUGUUUAGGCAUGCACUCAGUGCUGUUGCAUUCGUCAGCGAGGAGAAAAUCGCCGCCAAAGUGGAGCACCUGAAGAAAACAUUCAGGUGGUCGGAUGCUGAGGUGGGCAUUGCUAUUUCUAAGGCUCCAAAUGUGCUGAAUAAGACUAAGGAGUUUCUGCAGAGAAGGUCAGAGUUCCUCAUCUCUGAUUUGGGGUUGGAACCCGCAUACAUUGCUCAUCGCCCCGUAAUGCUCUCGUACAGCUUGGAGGGCCGGCUAAGGCCCCGGAGCUACGUUGUGAAGUUUCUUAAGGCAAAUGGAUUGCUAGAUCCCGACCGGGACUUGUAUUCCGUGCUUGUAGUGACUGAGAAGGUAUUCAUGGAGAGGUACAUAUGCCCUCACAAGGAAGCUGCACCAUGCCUCGCUCCAGACUAUGCUGAUGCUUGCAAAGGGCUAAUGCCGACUAAUUUCAGAUUUACAUGA
rnacentral:rRNA from 1 species